rnacentral:rRNA from 1 species
UACGGAGGGUGCAAGCGUUAAUCGGAAUUACUGGGCGUAAAGCGUGCGUAGGUGGUUCGUUAAGUCCGUUGUGAAAGCCCCGAGCUCAACUUGGGAAUUGCAGUGGAUACUGGCGAGCUGGAGUGCGGUAGAGGAAGGUGGAAUUCCCGGUGUAGCGGUGAAAUGCGUAGAGAUCGGGAGGAACACCAGUGGCGAAGGCGGCCUCUGGACCAGCACUGACACUCAAGCACGAAAGCGUGGGAGGCAAACAGGG